GAUGAACGCUAGCGGCAGGCCUAAUACAUGCAAGUCGGACGGGAUUGUGCUUUCGGGCUCAUGAGAGUGGCGCACGGGUGCGUAACACGUAUGUAACCUACCUCAGUCAGGGGGAUAGCCUCUCGAAAGAGAGAUUAACACCGCAUAACAUAUAGGAGUAGCAUUACUUUUAUAUCAAAUAUUUAUAGGACUGAGAUGGGCAUGCGGGACAUUAGCUAGUUGGCGGGGUAACGGCCCACCAAGGCGACGAUGUCUAGGGGAUCUGAGAGGAUGGCCCCCACACUGGUACUGAGACACGGACCAGACUCCUACGGGAGGCAGCAGUAAGGAAUAUUGGUCAAUGGGCGCAAGCCUGAACCAGCCAUGCCGCGUGCAGGAAGACGGCCCUAUGGGUUGUAAACUGCUUUUGCGCCGGAAUAAACCCCCUUUCGUGAAAGGGGCUGAAUGUACGGCGAGAAUAAGGAUCGGCUAACUCCGUGCCAGCAGCCGCAGUAA
rnacentral:rRNA from 1 species